AAAGUUUUCCGACUUCUUAAGUUUGUCAAUGAUCUGCAUGCUCUUAUUAGCCCUGUCCCUCAAGGAACUCCCCUUCCUCUUGUUUUGUUGGGAAAGUCAAAAAAUGCAUUAUUGUCAACUUUCUUAUUUCUCGAUCAAAUUGUCUGGCUUGGUAGAACCGGCAUCUAUAAGAACAAAGAACGAGCUGAGCUAAUUGGCCGGAUAUCUCUUUACUGUUGGAUGGGAUCCUCAGUCUGUACCACUUUGGUGGAGAUUGGAGAGAUUGGAAGGCUUUCUGCAUCAGUGAAGAAGCUAGAGAAGGAGCUCAAGAACAGUGAUAAAUAUCAAAAUGAACA
rnacentral:misc_RNA from 1 species